rnacentral:misc_RNA from 1 species
GAUGAAGAACGUAGCGAAAUGCGAUACUUGGUGUGAAUUGCAGAAUCCCGUGAACCAUCAAGUCUUUGAACGCAAGUUGCGCCUCAAGCCAUUAGGUUGAGGGCACGUCUGCCUGGGCGUCACAUAUCGUUGCCUGAUGCCAGUUUCCUCGUGAUGGGUGACUGUGCAGGGCGAAUGAUGGCUUCCCGUGAGCAUUGUUGCCUCAUGGUUGGUUGAAAAUUGAGUCCUUGGUAGGGAGCGCCGUGAUAGAUGGUGGUUGAGUGACGAACGAGACCCAAUCAUGUGAGACCCCUACCGAAUUUGGCCUUCAUGACCCACAUGCGUCUUUGGAACGCUCAUGACGAGACCUCAGGUCAGGCGGGGCUACCCGCUGAGUUUAAGCAUAUCAAUAAGCGGAGGA